UUCCGGUUGAUCCCGCCGGACCUGACUGCUAUCGGAUUGAUACUAAGCCAUGCGAGUCAUUGUAGCAAUACAAGGCAUACGGCUCAGUAACGCGUAGUCAACCUACCCUAUGGACGGAAAUAACCUCGGGAAACUGAGAAUAAUAUCCGAUAGAACAUUAUGCCUGGAAUGGUUUACGUUCCAAAUSAUUUAUCGCCGUAGGAUGGGACUGCGGCCUAUCAGUUUGUUGGUGAGGUAAUGGCCCACCAAGACUAUUACAGGUACGGGCUCUGAGAGGAGUAGCCCGGAGAUGGGUACUGAGACACGGACCCAGGCCCUAUGGGGCGCAGCAGGCGAGAAAACUUUGCAAUGUGCGAAAGCACGACAAGGUUAAUCCGAGUGAUUUCUGCUAAAGAAAUCUUUUGUUAGUCCUAGAAACACUAACGAAUAAGGGGUGGGCAAGUUCUGGUGUCAGCCGCCGCGGUAAAACCAGCACCUCAAGUGGUCAGGAUGAUUAUUGGGCCUAAAGCAUCCGUAGCCGGCUCUGUAAGUCCUCGGUUAAAUCUGUACGCUUAACGUACAGGCUGCCGGGAAUACUGCAUAGCUAGGGAGUGGGAGAGGUAGACGGUACUCGGUAGGAAGGGGUAAAAUCCUUUGAUCUAUUGAUGACCACCUGUGGCGAAGGCGGUCUACCAGAACACGUCCGACGGUGAGGGAUGAAAGCUGGGGGAGCAAACCGGAUUAGAUACCCGGGUAGUCCCAGCUGUAAACUAUGCAAACCCAGUGAUGCAUUGGCUUGUGGCCAAUGCGGUGCUGCAGGGAAGCCGUUAAGUUUGCCGCCUGGGGAAGUACGUACGCAAGUAUGAAACUUAAAGGAAUUGGCGGGGGAGCACCACAAGGGGUGAAGCCUGCGGUUCAAUUGGAGUCAACGCCGG
rnacentral:rRNA from 2 species